UCUCCGUAGGUGAACCUGCGGAGGGAUCAUUACUGAGUGAGGGCUUCGGUCCGACCUCCAACCCUUUGUGAAUCGUACUCGUUGCUUCGGGGGCGACCCUGCCGUCCGCGGCUGAGCGCCCCCGGGGUCAAUCAAACACUGCAUUCUCUGCGUCGGAGUAUUAGUAAAUCUAAUCGAAAAUUUCAACAACGGAUCUCUUCGUUCCAGCAUCGAUGAAGAACGCAGC
rnacentral:misc_RNA from 1 species